rnacentral:lncRNA from 1 species
GUUUGGCUCUGCUGGUUUCUCUGAUUGGAGGAUUGAUGCAGCGCCUCCGACGAAUCAUCUGUGCUGCUUUCUAUCCAGAGAGAGAACUGGAGAGGAUCCUCUUCCUCCGCCAGAAGAUCCUGGAUGAGAGGAGGGCAGAGCGUGAAUCCAUGUGGAAGUUACCUGGAGUUACUCACCUGUCGUCCUGUUUCUCUGCGGACUGUGCAGGAAUUCCCUGCAGCCCGUGUUUCCCCUGUGUGCGACCUUCGACCUCUCAGAAGAACAACGAGGCUCAGCCAGAGGCUGACAGUGAAGCUUUGGAGAUGGUUCCCAUGGCAACACAGAGACAGUCAGCUGGAUCAUCAGAGGGUGAGCGUGAUAACGAGGACAGCGUUGGUUCAGACUCCGAGUUCAGUGACCUAGACAUGUCGUACCAGUACCGAGAAGAGUCCGACGAGUCUGACAGCGACCACUCCGGCAUCAGCGUCUAGAACAGAUGGAACAGAGCAUCUCCAGGAACUCACAGCAGGGAGCCUGAGGCGUCACACCUUCUUAGCUUCAGAUUCCCUAUCAAGUUUUAUUCUUUGUAUAGUAAAAACUAUAUUAUUUUAUAUUCAUAUUAUUUAGCUGGUAUUGUCCCACCCCAUCUCAAAGAUAUCAACUGAUUGGACUGAAUUAAUUGGAAGUCUAAUUUUAGGUUGAUAUUUUAUUCUAGUUUAAGUAAUUUUAGUCUUAAUGUAAGGUCAACAUUUUAGUCACAUUGUUGUAGAGAUUAGAAAUCUAAUUGUAGGCCUAUGGAUGAUACCAAGAGAUAUAUUUCCC